rnacentral:tRNA from 1 species
GCGUUGGUGGUUCAGGGGUAAAAUUCUCACCUUCCAUGCAGAAGACCCGGGUUCAAUUCCUGGCCAAUGCA